rnacentral:rRNA from 1 species
GACGAACGCUGGCGGCGUGCUUAACACAUGCAAGUCGAACGGAAAGGCCCUGCUUUUGUGGGGUGCUCGAUUGGCGAACGGGUGAGUAACACGUGAGUAACCUGCCCUUGACUUUGGGAUAACUUCAGGAAACUGGGGCUAAUACCGGAUAGGAGCUCCUGCUGCAUGGUGGGGGUUGGAAAGUUUCGGCGGUUGGGGAUGGACUCGCGGCUUAUCAGCUUGUUGGUGGGGUAGUGGCUUACCAAGGCUUUGACGGGUAGCCGGCCUGAGAGGGGGACCGGCCACAUUGGGACUGAGAUACGGCCCAGAAUCCUGCGGGAGGCAGCAGUGGGGAAUCUUGCACAAUGGGCGGAAGCCUGAUGCAGCAACGCUGCGUGCGGGAUGACGGCCUUCGGGUUGUAAACCGCUUUCGCCUGUGACGAAGCGUGAGUGACGGUAAUGGGUAAAGAAGCACCGGCUAACUACGUG